rnacentral:misc_RNA from 1 species
AACGCACCUUGCGCUUCUUGGUAUUCCUAGAAGCAUGUCUGUUUGAGGGUCUUUAGAUUUUUCAAAUUUCACUGGUGGUUUCCGGUUCAAUUUGGACUGUGGGUGAUGCAGGUCUUGGUGGUCUGCUCACCUCAAAAGUGUUAGCGGAAGUCUUUUGAUUGCUCGUUGUUGGUAUGAUAAUUGUCUAUGCCAUUUGACGAUCGUCAGUUUUUCGCUCCUAAUCGUCCUGGUUUGGACAAGCGACUUGAUUAUUGGACCUCAAAUCAGACAGGAUUACCCGCUGAACUUAA